rnacentral:rRNA from 1 species
CACGUAGGGUGCGAGCGUUGUCCGGAAUUAUUGGGCGUAAAGAGCUCGUAGGCGGUGUGUCGCGUCGGCCGUGAAAACCUGCAGCUUAACUGUGGGCGUGCGGUCGAUACGGGCAUCACUGGAGUUCGGCAGGGGAGACUGGAAUUCCUGGUGUAGCGGUGAAAUGCGCAGAUAUCAGGAGGAACACCGGUGGCGAAGGCGGGUCUCUGGCCCGUUCUUGACGCUGAGGCGCGAAAGCUAGGGUAGCAAACAGG